CGAACCCAUGUCCCGUUUUAAAAGUCUUCGGCAAUAUCAUCAACGCGGUUACUUCAAUCUCUCUAUCCCCCAUUGUACACUGUUUAUGAAAAAUUCUACAGACCAUUUCAGCUUUAGAGAUGGAGAAUUUUGCACAAGUCCUGCUUGCCAUUAACAUUUCUGGUGUUGCAGGUUCGAGUCAUGGAAUAACCUUCUUUUGAUCACGUUGCAUCUGUCAUUUCGUCCUCCCCUUUUCAUUUCAUCUCUCUCUCUCUCUCUCUCUCUCUCUCUCUCUCUCU